rnacentral:rRNA from 1 species
AACCUUUACACUGUACGAAAGUGCGAUAAGGGAACUCUACGUGCUCAUGCAUUGCAUGGGCUUUUGCCAUAUGUAAAAAGUAUGGCGAAUAAGUGGUGGGAAAGACUGGUGCCAGCCGCCGCGGUAACACCAGCGCCACAAGUGGGAGCCACGAUUAUUGGGCCUAAAGCGUUCGUAGCCGGUUGAGUAAAUCUUUUGUGAAAUUGUUGCGCUCAACGUAACAACGUGCAGGAGACACUGCUCGACUUGGGACCGGGAGAAGCUCGAGGUAUUUUUGGGGUAGCGGUAAAAUGCUAUAAUCCCGAAAGGACCACCGAUGGCGAAGGCAUCGAGCUAGAACGGAUCCGACGGUGAGGAACGAAAGCUGGGGGAGCAAACCGG